rnacentral:rRNA from 1 species
GACGAACGCUGGCGGCGUGCUUAACACAUGCAGUCGAACGGAAAGGCCUGCUUUCCCUUGUGGAUUGCGGGUACUCGAGUGGCGAACGGGUGAGUAACACGUGAGUGAUCUGCCCCCAACUUGGGUAUAAGCCUGGGAAACUGGGUCUAAUUCCCGAUAGGACUGCAGGGUGGUGCCUGUGGUGGAAAACGAUUUUCUAGUGGUUGGGGAUGAGCUCGCGGCCUAUCAGCUUGUUGGUGGGGUAAUGGCCUACCAAGGCGGCGACGGGUAGCCGGCCUGAGAGGGUGGACGGCCACAUUGGGACUGAGAUACGGCCCAGACUCCUACGGGAGGCAGCAGUGGGGAAUAUUGCACAAUGGGCGGAAGCCUGAUGCAGCGACGCCGCGUGGGGGAUGACGGCCUUCGGGUUGUAAACUCCUUUCGACCGCGAGGAAGCCACCUGGUUGGAAGGGUGGUGACGGUAGUGGUAGAAGAAGCACCGGCUAACUACGUG